GUAGUUGGUCUGAGAGGACGACCAGCCACACUGGGACUGAGACACGGCCCAGACUCCUACGGGAGGCAGCAGUGGGGAAUUUUGGACAAUGGGCGCAAGCCUGAUCCAGCAAUGCCGCGUGAGUGAAGAAGGCCUUCGGGUUGUAAAGCUCUUUCAGUCGAGAAGAAAAGACUGCAGCGAAUAACUGCGGUUUAUGACGGUAUCGACAGAAGAAGCACCGGCUAACUACGUGCCAGCAGCCGCGGUAAUACGUAGGGUGCGAGCGUUAAUCGGAAUUACUGGGCGUAAAGGGUGCGCAGGCGGUUUUGUAAGUCAGAUGUGAAAUCCCCGGGCUUAACCUGGGAAUU
rnacentral:rRNA from 1 species